rnacentral:rRNA from 1 species
CCUACGGGAGGCAGCAGUGAGGAAUAUUGGUCAAUGGGCGCGAGCCUGAACCAGCCAAGUAGCGUGAAGGAAGAAUGCUUUCGGGUUGUAAACUUCUUUUGACAGGGAAGAGUAGAAGACGGUACCUGUCGACUAAGCCACGGCUAACUACGUGCCAGCAGCCGCGGUAAUACGUAGGUGGCAAGCGGUGUCCGGAUUUACUGGGUGUAAAGGGCGUGUAGCCGGGUUGACAAGUCAGCUGUGAAAUCCUGCGGCUUAACCGCAGAACUGCAUUUGACACUGUUGAUCUUGAGUACUGGAGAGGCAGACGGAAUUCCUAGUGUAGCGGUGAAAUGCGUAGAUAUUAGGAGGAACACCAGUGGCGAAGGCGGUCUGCUGGACAGCAACUGACGGUGAGGCGCGAAAGCGUGGGGAGCAAACAGGAUUAGAUACCCGGGUAGUC